UACGGAGGAUGCGAGCGUUAUCCGGAUUUAUUGGGUUUAAAGGGUGCGUAGGCGGACUGUUAAGUCAGCGGUAAAAGCCCGGGGCUCAACCCCGGCGAGCCGUUGAAACUGGCUGUCUUGAGAUGUCGAGAGGUAUGCGGAAUGCGCAGUGUAGCGGUGAAAUGCUUAGAUAUUGCGCAGAACUCCGAUUGCGAAGGCAGCAUACCGGCGGCGAUCUGACGCUGAGGCACGAAAGCGUGGGCAUCGAACAGG
rnacentral:rRNA from 1 species